rnacentral:misc_RNA from 1 species
AAGUCGUAACAAGGUUUCCGUAGGUGAACCUGCGGAAGGAUCAUUAACGAGUUUUGAAACGAGUUUUGUAAGCUGGACCUUCCGAGGCAUGUGCCACGCUCUGCUCAAUCCAACUCUACCCCUGUGCACUUACUGUAGGUUGGCGUGGGCUCCUUAACGGGAGCAUUCUGUCCGGCCUAUGUAUACUACAAACACUUUAAAGUAUCAGAAUGUAAAUCGCGUUCUAAACGCAUCUAUAAUACAAC